GCAGGCACAUGCCCAGGGCAGUGAGCGGAGCCGCCCAGGUGGCCCUUCCUCCGUAUUUCUAAAUAACCUGCCCAUAUUUUCUAAUUUCUCUGAUCCCUUUUUUCAGUUUUGAAUAGCGUUUGUUGGUUCCCCUGAGUAGAAAGAUGGGGUUCUGUUCUACCCCAACAAUGUGCCUUCCUCCCCACUGUCCCGGGUAUGAAAUGGCUAUUCCUUUGUUUUUGUUAUUGAGGUGACGUAGACCGUACUCCGCUCAGGCAGGUGGGCCUGCAUGCCUGCGCACGUGUUAGCGGGCAGAGGCUCCCUUGUUUACCGGAGAGCCUUGAACGGACAAGCCCUAUAGAAGGGGGCGGCCCAGAUCCCACCCCAACACCUUCAGCCCAGCACCCACAUGUGUAAAGUCAACCCCUCAUAGGGCCUCUUGGUUAAAUGUAUGUUUUUCCCACUCUCAGCUUUUGGUUAUAUGGGCUGUGGGGCUGAUGCCUGUUGAGCCCACAGAGGCCUCAUUAUUCUGAUUUUCUGUCUGUUCCAUUCACGUGUUUCAAAGUUAUGUGGAAAACAGGGAGUAAAGCUUGACAUUUCAAGGCCAAGGGCCAGGAAGGAAGAGCAGAGUGUACUUCUUCUGUAAGCCUAAAGCAUCUCCCACAAUCCUCCUCAGAUUCUUCUUUUUUGAAGCAUUUUUUAAAAAUUGCGCUGAAAUACACAAAGCCCAGGAGCACGUGGGUGCAGUCAGUUGAGCGUCUGGCUCUCGGGCUCAGCUCGGUGGUGGUCUCAGGGUCACGGGACUGAGCCCGUGGGGGGCGCUGAGCCCCGCGCACAGCCUGCCUGAGGUCCGCUCUCCCUGCCCCUGCCCCUGCCCUUCCUGCUGUGUGCUCUCUCUCUCCUGCCCCCACUCUCUAAAGUAAACAAGUAGAUCUUAAAAAUACAUACAUACAUAGCCUCAAAUUUACUGUCUUCGUGGUUUCUGGAUCAGCUCGGGGGUGUGACGCUCACUCACCAUAAUGCAGACGCCGCGGCUCGUGCACAGAACGCGCCCGUCUUCAGCUCGAGCUCCGUCCCCAUUAAACCGACUCCCUGUCCUGUACCAAGCCCCUGGCACCCCCAUCUUCCGUACGGACCCGACUCUCCCAGGGACCGCCUGUGAGUGGGAUGGUACAGAGUUUGUCCUGUGGUGUCCGGCUUUUCUCACUCAGUGUAAUACCCUCCCCCCAACCCCAUACGGUGUAGCAGGUGUCACGACCUUUCCUAAGGCCGAGUGCGACCGUCCCCUGCAGGGCCAGGCUGCGUCGCGCUUUUCCCGUCGUCCUCUGAGGGAUGCCUAGCUUGCUCCCACCUUCCGGCCAUCGUGAGCGACGCCGCUGUGAGCACAGGUGUCCCAGUGUCCGUUCAGGUCCCUGCUCUUAGUGCUUUGGGGCAGAUACUCAGAGAUGGACUUGCUGGGUCUUACAGGAGUUCUCUCGGUUCUUUGAGGAGCUGCUGUGGUGUUCUCCUGUGACAGCCGUGUCAUAGGUGCCCACCAGCGGUGCACAAAGAGCCCAGUUGCUCCACACCCCUUCUUUCCUUUUUUUUUUUUUUUUUUUUUAAUAUUUUUUAUUUAGGGGGGAGAGGCAAACUCUCCACCGAGCCCAGAGUCCGACACAGGGCUCGAUCCCACCACCCAAGCUGAAACCCAGAGUCGACACCCAACCGACCACACCCCCAGGCGCCCCAGUGCUUAUUUUCUUUUUCCUCUUUGUUUUUAAUAACCGCGGUCUUCACGGGUGUGAAGUUGCUUCUCGUCGUGGUUUCGGUCUGCGUCCCGAGACGUCCCUUUAUUUCAGGUCGUCUCCCAGUGUGGACGAGAGCACGUCCCGGCGCUGUUUCUCCAGUGUUCUCGUGCACACGCGUCCUCUCGGGAGCUUGUGGGAAUCCUGGUUCGGGAGACCCGGCGUGCGGCGUCUGCGUCUCUAGCAAGCACCAGGGCGUGCCAGGGACGAAAGCUGCUGGUCCGAAGGCCAGGCCAUGGGUCGCAAGGACAGAGGAGAAGUGCGUUGGCUCUGGAGUCGAGCAGACCCGACUCGGGGAGGAUUCAGAGUCGUGGAUCCAGGGCCUCCUUGGCUAGAGCCGAGCACUUUCCGACUCCUGGCACCUGCCGACGCCGUGGGAAGGAAGCCGCUGCGUGACUUUCUCGUCGUCACAACGCAGGCUGUAAAGCCUGUGACUCUUCUAAGCUCUGCCGAAGUUCACACGCGCCUCUCUGUUCGUUCGUGAAGCCUUUCUCGGGACCCUCCAGCGGCGCACGGUGCCAGGUGAGGCCGGGGGAGUCCUGUCCUCGGGAGGGUCACAGCCUCCCCGCAGAGGUGAGACCAGGGCCGGAGCGAGCAGGACAGAGCAGAGACGGCGGCGCGCUGCCGGAGGUGCUGGGAAUGCUCAGGCCCCACAGACCGCGAGAAAGGUCUGGCUUUCAGGCUGGGGAAUGACGCGAUUGUAACUGUAUCUUGAGCAAAGCUCGUUGGUCGCAGGGGUGAGCUGGAGCAGGGGGACCCCUGCUCACCGGGGUCAGAGCCCUCCACUGUCUGCUGCAGCCCAGACGGCGACGUCUGUCACCUACAGCUGUGGUGGUCCGCACACCUGCUGUUGACAGACUCUGGUAGUCUGUCGUCUGUCGACCGUGGUGGUCCGUGUCAUCUCUAGACCAUGACGGUCUGUGUCAUCUGUGUCCUCUCUAGACUGGGACUUCCCGUGUCGUCUGUUAUUGCUGGACUGUAGCAGUCUGCGUCAUCUGUCGUUUCUGUUCCAAGAUGGCCCAUGUCGCCUGUCAUCUGUAGGCCGUGACAGUCCGUGUGAUCUGUCAUCUCUAGACCGUGAUGGCCAGUGUCAUCUGUUUUCUCCAGAUCGUGACGGUCCAUGUCAUCUGUUGUCUGUAGACCAGGACGGCCUGUUUCUUCUGUCAUCUCCAGUCUGUGACGGUCCAUGUCACCUGUAGUCCAGGACAGUCCAUGCCAUUUGUUGUCUCCAGUCCUGAUGGUCCAUGUUGUCUGUAGACAGGGUGGUCUGUGUUGUCUGUUGUCUGUAGUCUGGGACGGUCCAUGUCCUCUGUCAUCUGUAAACCAGGAUGGUCCUUGUCAUCUGUCAUCUCCAGUCUGUGACGGUCCAUGUCAUCUGUAGACCAGGACAGUCCCUGUCACCUGUUGUCGGCAGUCCGCAAUGGCCUAUGUCGUCUGUUGUCUCUAGUCUGGGAUGGUCCAUGUUCUCUGUUGUCUGUAGACCAGGACGGUCCGGGUCAUUUGUCAUCUAGACUAUGAUAGUCUGUAUCCUCUGUCUGUAGACAUGGUCUGUGACAUAUGUCGUCUCUUAAAAUGCAGACCACGGUGGUCUAUAAUGAAAGUUCAGCAUUGGAGGGUCAGCAAAGGGAAUCUCAGGCCUUGAGAAGUCUGGGAAGAAAACGUGUCGUGUGCUGAGGCCUUGGGGUUGGCACUGAGGUGUGCGAAUGAUCAUGGCAGAUCCCACUGCUAAGAGUUCAAGAAAGUGCCAGCAGCCUCUUGUGCGACAGAAGGCAGCUGCCUGGCUGCCUGGAGAAGGGCUGAGGGAGGGGGAGGAGGGCGGGAGGAGACCGGUGGGUGCGUCUGUGCCACGGAGCAGACUGGGGCUUCACAGGUGUGCGCGGGUGUCCUGACCCAGCAGCCCCCACACCUCAUGUCUGUGCGUAUGGCCGUAGGCCAGUCGCUGCUCACUGUGGCUGCCUGGCGAUGCCCCGAUUUCAUGUGUGUGAGCUGCCGGGUGGGUGGUUAUGAGUGAGGGGUCUGGUGACUGGCUCGGACC